rnacentral:lncRNA from 1 species
AGAGACGGUAAAGAGAAACUACCGCCCCGCCCGUCCCCGCCCCUCUUCCCGGACCAACCGCCCCCAACUGCGCGACCCGGCCAGGCCUUCCCCGGGCCGCGUGACCGGCCGGGCCCGCCCCUCCGCCCCCGCCGGGCGCCAGUCCCCGAGCCGGCGCGACCCCGGGGCCCGCCCCUCGCGUCCCUAACCCGCCCCUCCCCCUCGGGCCGCGCCGCCGCCGCCUCCCGCCCCCCCACCGCGUCCCUGCGGCGGCCGGGCGGGGCGGAGCCGCAGGCGGGGGGCGAGGGGGAGGCGCGGUCCGGGGCCCGCCCCGCCCCGCCCCGCCCCGCCGGGGAGACCCAGCGCUCCGGGCUCCACGCGGGCCCCGGCCGGGGCACCCACCCGUCCGCGUCCCCGCCCCCGCCCCCGCCCCGCGCAGGGCGGCCGGCCGCGCCCGUCCGCCCGGGCCCCUCCCCCGCCGGGGACGCCCCCUCCCCCGCCCGCGCCCGGCUCGCGGCCUCCCCGCCUCCCGCCCCGGGGAUCCCCUGCCGCCCCGCCCACCCGCGGGAAAGCCUCGGACCUUCGCCCUCCCUCCCCCGCGCCGCCCGGCCCGCGCUCCUCGCGUCGCCCCUAAAGACGCUAAACGUGCCCUACUCUGCCCCGGGGAGAGGUAAAGCCCGCGCCCGCCCUCCGCGCCCCGGGGGCCGCUCCCCCGCCGCGCCGCCCCUCCCCGGCGGCGGUCAUGCCGCGGCCCCGGGCGCCGGCGAGCGCGGCCGCCUCCCCCGCCCGGCGCCUGCGGCCCCCGCCCGCGCGCCCCGCGCUCCCCGCCCGCCCGCCCCCCGGCCGGCUCCCCUGUUUAAUAUUUCAGCGCUGGGUGGUGUGAGCGCCAGUCGCCGGCCUCCGGGGUGGCUGCUGCUGGGGCGGCGGCGGCGGCGGCGGCGGCGGGGAGGGGGCCGGAGCCGGGGGCCGGGAGCAGCCGCGGGAGGGGGCGAUGUUUGUGUUUGGGGUUGUCAAGUGAAGGAGGGAUCCCGGGCGCCGCCGCUGCCGCCGCCGCCGCCGCCGCACGGGGGUCGCGGAGAUUCCGAGCUGCGGCCGCCGCCAUCAGCAGCGCAGCUCCCGGGCCGGCUGCAGCGGCAGCGGCUCCGCCGGGCGUCCUGGCAGCAGGUUCGGCGCGGGCUGGGCGGCGGGGGCGCUGCAGCUGGGAGGGCGCGGGGGGAGGGGGCAGGACCGCGUCCCCCUGCGCGGGCGGGGGGCGUGCGGGCGCGCGUGUGUGCGCGCGUGUGUGUGUGUGUGUGUGUGUGCAGCCGCCGACCUUGCGGAGGGGAUGGCUGCGUGCGGGAGACACUUGGCACUUCUGGGCGCCCUCGCCGCGCGCGAGCGGCCCGAGCUGCGGUCCUGCGAGGCGAGCAGCACAUGGAUUAA